UACGGGGGGGGCAAGCGUUGUUCGGAAUUACUGGGCGUAAAGGGCGCGUAGGCGGCCUGGUAAGUAGGGGGUGAGAUCCUGCGGCUUAACCGCAGGGCUGCCUUCUAAACUGUCAGGCUCGAGCACGGUAGAGGCAGAUGGAAUUCCCGGUGUAGCGGUGGAAUGCGUAGAGAUCGGGAAGAACAUCAGUGGCGAAGGCGGUCUGCUGGGCCGUUGCUGACGCUGAGGCGCGACAGCGUGGGGAGCAAACAGG
rnacentral:rRNA from 1 species